CGGGGCGUAGCGCAGCCUGGUAGCGCACUUGCAUGGGGUGCAAGGUGUCGCAGGUUCGAAUCCUGUCGCCCCGACCA
rnacentral:tRNA from 1 species